rnacentral:rRNA from 1 species
UACGAAGGGGGCUAGCGUUGCUCGGAAUCACUGGGCGUAAAGCGCACGUAGGCGGACUCUUAAGUCGGUGGUGAAAUCCUGGAGCUCAACUCCAGAACUGCCUUCGAUACUGAGAGUCUCGAGUCCGGGAGAGGUGAGUGGAACUGCGAGUGUAGAGGUGAAAUUCGUAGAUAUCGUAAGGAAGACCAGUGGCGAAGGCGGGUCUCUGGACAGUUCCUGACGCUGAGGCACGAAGGUCAGGGGAGCAAACGGG